rnacentral:rRNA from 1 species
UACGGGGGGAGCAAGCGUUGUUCGGAUUUACUGGGCGUAAAGAGCGCGCAGGCGGUCGUUCAAGUCGAGUGUGAAAGCCCCCCGGCUCAACUGGGGAGGGUCACUCGAUACUGAUCGACUUGAAGGCAGGAGAGGGAAGCGGAAUUCCCGGGUGUAGUGGUGAAAUGCGGUAGAUAUCGGGAGGAACACCAGUGGCGAAAGGCGGCUUCCCUGGGCCUGUUCUUGACGCUGAGGGCGCGAAAGCUGGGGGGAGCAAAACGGGG